AAUGCAAUUUAACCUUUCUUUCUUUCUCUCUUUUUUAUAUUUUUGUUACAGAGAAUGGAGUAAACCGGUUCGUUUUCAUCAGUAAUAUCACGGCCUGGAAGGAUGCUCAGAGCUACUGCAGACAGUAUUACACAGACCUUGUCGUCAUUCAGAAUCAAACUGAGAAUAACCAGCUGAGUGUGCUGAUGAAACCAUAUACAAAUGCUUGGAUUGGACUCUUCAGAGACGUGUGGAAAUGGUCAGAUGAAACAAAUGUCUCCACUUCCUCCUUUACUAGACUACCUUUACAAUCUGGGCUGCGUAGUCCUUGUGGUGUUUCAGAUCCUGGUGGUAUAAUCAGUUACCAGAUCUGCUCAAACGUUCUCCCUUUCCUCUGCAUGCACCGUGCAAAGAAACAGAUUGUAAGACUGAGGGUCAAAUCUGGUCAGAAUCUUAAUGAUCCUGCAGUGAUGACUGUUAUCUUACAGUGGAUAAAACAGAAGCUGAAGGAAUGGGGUAUAGAAAAGGAAACAAAUGUGACAUGGAGAGUUCAGGCAAAUGGAUAUGUUUUCAUGAGUUACACAUUUUUAAGGUAAUUUAUCACAUUACACUUAUUAUUUCUCACAAAUUCUAAUAAUGUUCUUCUCUGUAAUGGAUUUAAACACGAUUACACUCUCCUUAUGUACACCUAGUUUCAGCGGAAGCAGUGGUGGUCCUGGCUCACUUUGAAUCCAGCUGUGUGCUCAAAAGUGUCAACACCGUGGCAGGACAUAUAAAAGGAGUAAUUCUGUGCCGGUUGUGAAGAUCAGCAGUACAUGUAAAAUGUGUUCAUAUGAUUGAUAUAUUGUAAACUCCCUUAAAACAGUUAAAUGCAACUUAUUAUUUAAUUUGAGGUGUAUUUUAGCACAGCUGUGAUUUCAUAGUAGGGGUAGUAGUAGGGGAUGUAAUUCCGUUUCUUAGUAAAAAAAAUUCAUCUUUUAUUGUAAAAUGACUAGUACAGUGAAAGAUAAUUUUCUUUAUACCAUUCCAUAAAUAAAAUCUUUACAGCAAUCUUAAUACCAAGUCUUUUUGUACACAUGCAGACCUAAAUUGGGCAAAUUCAGAAUUUAGGCCUCUCUUCAAUUAAUGAGUGUGAAUUAGAGCUGAACUGACACACAGGAUGCUGAAUUGUAUAAUAUUCUGGAAAAUUGUGUUCUCUUAAAAGUAAAAGAAAUAUGAAGAAAUUAAUUACACACACAGGCCUUC
rnacentral:lncRNA from 1 species